CUGAUAAUUUUGGGGAGAUGGUUGGUAUCUCCCCUGACAGGGUUGGGAACAACCUUUGGCUUCUGCUUCCCUGUACACAUACGGUUAAGGCUUCUGUUGAGUACAGGGAACAUAAAAUUCAACUUAUAU
rfam:Cucumis sativus cultivar 9930 chromosome 1, whole genome shotgun sequence.